rnacentral:rRNA from 1 species
AUUGAACGCUGGCGGCAGGCCUAACACAUGCAAGUCGAGCGGAUGAAGGGAGCUUGCUCCUGGAUUCAGCGGCGGACGGGUGAGUAAUGCCUAGGAAUCUGCCUGGUAGUGGGGGAUAACGUCCGGAAACGGGCGCUAAUACCGCAUACGUCCUGAGGGAGAAAGUGGGGGUUCUUCGGACCUCACGCUAUCAGAUGAGCCUAGGUCGGAUUAGCUAGUUGGUGGGGUAAAGGCCUACCAAGGCGACGAUCCGUAACUGGUCUGAGAGGAUGAUCAGUCACACUGGAACUGAGACACGGUCCAGACUCCUACGGGAGGCAGCAGUGGGGAAUAUUGGACAAAGGGCGAAAGCCUGAUCCAGCCAUGCCGCGUGUGUGAAGAAGGUCGUCGGAUUGUAAAGCACUUUAAGUUGGGAGGAAGGGCAGUAAGUUAAUACCUUGCUGUUUUGACGUUACCAACAGAAUAAGCACCGGCUAACUUCGUG